rnacentral:lncRNA from 1 species
UUAUAUUCAAAUCAACCAGAACAAAGAAAAUCACUAUAAAACAUUUCCUCACUCUAUCUACAGUUACAUUAGAACAAUUGGCAGCUACAACAAAAUUUGCUAUGAACUAAAAGAGAUCACUAAAAAAAUGAUGAUUACUUGAUCAAAGGUUUACAGAAACCAAAAAUGAACUGCAUAAAUGUUUUCAUCUAAACAUUUAACUUGUUGGAUCAAACAUAUCUUUUACCUUGUUUUUUGUCCACUGGAUUAGCAUCCUGCUUGUGUUUAAGGGCCUCAUCGCCUCGAAUGAAGUGGAGAACGAUUACGGGGUGAUUUUUGAAUGCGGUGAGAAGUGGAAGAACUUGAUGAACCAGAAGUAUUUUUAGUCCCCUUUGGUUUUUCCUUGAUUGCAUCUAUUUGUUCUAAUGCGUCCACAACUUCUCUCAUUGAGGGUCGGCUUUGAGGAUCUGGUUCGAGGCAUUGUAAGGUAAGUUGUGCUGCUUGUAACAUUGCCUUGGAGGAGUUUUGGCCUUCUAUUCUUACAUCCAUCGUGGCUUUUAACUUUUUCUUAUAUGGGAGAAUUGGCUUCAACCAAUCAACCAAAUUUUGCUGCCCAUUUGGACGCCUCCUAUCGAGUGCCCUUAAGCCUGUCAGCAACUCAAGCAGCACCACUCCGAAGCCAUACACGUCACUCUUAACAUAUAAAUGGCCUGAUUAUUAUUGCAAAAAAAGUAUGUCAGAUAAUUAAACUAUAACAACCUAUUAGAACAGAACUCCAAAUGCUUAAUUUUUUCUGUCUUGUCCGUCAAACUCCAUAAUCAAGCAUAUACUCAAUUCUUGAUUUUACCAAUUAUACAUAUAUAUGUGUGAGUGUAUGUGUGUGUGUCUGUGUAGGGAAACACAAUUUCGCACUUUUAUUUUAUUACCUGUUGCAAUGUAUUCAGGAGCUGCAUAACCAUAAGAACCCAUAACCCUGGUUGUCACAUGUGAGUCUCCACCUGAAGGCCCCAAUUUUGCCAAGCCAAAAUCUGAUAUUUUUGCAUUGUAAUUCUUUGAAAAGACAACAAAAGAAGAAGAAACAACAAUGUCAGUAAAACAUUUGAAUGCUUUCACCUAAAAUGGAAGCUUUCAAACUCUCUGUCCCUUUCUCUUGUUUAGAAUUUGAAGCACAUAAAAAGAAGACAGCACUUGCUUUUUGGAAGUUUACUAAAUUUUUAGUGCUAUCAUCAUAAUGUCGAUACAAUCAAAAGUGUAAAAAUCAGUAUUGAAGUAUCGCAUUGAGACCGACCAUUUGGUAGCAUUAACAAGUUAUGAAAGGAAAUUUAGAAUCACAUCAAUCGAUUUCUAUUCUUUCAAGAAACAGAAAGAGAAAUUUAUAAAUUAGGCCUCAGAUUAAAAAAGAAGCAAAAAGAUAUAAUCGUAUAUAAACUAACCCCAUCAAGCAGAAUAUUUGAGGCCUUGAAAUCUCUGUAAAUGACUGGCUUUUCUGAGGUAUGAAGAAAAGCAAGACCUCGAGCUGUUCCAAUGGCUAUCUUGAGCCGUAAGUCCCAUGACAAGGGUUCAAUGUUAGGAUUCCCUGCAAAAACAAACAAUCCAAUGAUCAACGGAAAUUAUCUAAAAUUUAGCAAAUUCUAGUCUUUCUUUCUUCAAAAAUUUCCCCUCAAUCACUCAUUUUUAUCAAUUCUUACUUCUGAAAAGAUGAUUCUCCAAGCUUCCCUUCUGCAUGAAUUCAUACACAAGGAGUAGCUCUUUAUCCUCCCAACAAUAUCCUAACAAUUUAACCAGGUUAGGAUGUGAUAAUCUUCCUAGAAAGUUCACCUCCGACUGCAUUAUCCAAAAGAGUUCAAAAAAAUGCAGAUUGUUAGCAUCAAUAAGAAGGGCUAUAUUGCAUGGAUUUAAAUUCUCCAAACAUCAAGAACAGCUGCCCCACGAAGCAGAAGCUAAAAGGCUUUGUAUCAAAUCCUCAAUUCUCCUUCCCUAUCCCGUCAAAAUAAUAAUAACAAUAAUAAUAAUAAUACUAAUAAUAAAGACGAAAAAGGAAAAAAAAAAAAAAAAAAAAAAAAAAAAAACCUCAAGCUAGAGCAAUUUAUGCUAUAUCAUAACUUUGAUCAAUUGUGAAUCAACCAAAAGCAUUACAGUUUCCAGCGUUUUUCCUUAAAAGAGUUCUUUCAAAUAUGACCUUAUAAAAAUUGCACAUUCCUUCAAUUGUCACUCCAUUAUUACGGUAUGUUAGGCAAUGAAGGUGAGGAUGACCUUAUGAGCAAGGCAACUUGCAGACAUUACCACAAUUAAUGAAAUUGCAGUAAAUUGAAAACAAAAUGAAGCUGCAGGUGGGACCCAUUAUGGAAAAAUGAUUGAAGCCAACCAUAAACACAAUGCAUAAAACACUUUGCUUCCCCCACCUUUAUUCCCUCUCUUCUUCUUUUAAUUAAUGGUCAAGAGUCAAGACUCAUCAGAAACAAGAAUUUGGAAAAACAGAACAAUCAAUAAAUGGAAAAUAAUUCAUAUUUGGAAGGAAUAUACUAGAAUUGAAAAAUUAGAAUCAAAUACCUGCCACUCGUGAAAACCUUGAUAGCAACCGUUAACCCAGUGCCUGUUUUGGAAGGGGCAUAAGUCUUUUCCGCCAACCCCCCCUUGAAGACUUUACCAAAACCACCUUCACCCAAAACAGAAUCUGAUCUAAAAUUUCUUGUGGCACCCCUCAAAUCAGCAAAGGUGAACUCUUUCAAGUUUGGUGCCUCCAAUAUUUGACCAUUAGAGUUUCCAUCUUCAUUCACUUCACUUACUGCAGCAGAGAAUUGGCUUUUCCCUGCACUGCUACUUGUGGCUGAGAACUCCAUGGUUGUGUUAUUGUUUGAUGACCCUUUCAAACCAAGAGAACAAAAUUCAAUGGAUCAGCUUCAAACCCAAGAAAUAAAAAAGCAAGUGCAAAAAAAAAAAAAAAAAAAAAAAAAAAGAGCAGGAAGAGGUAAAAAACAUACCAGGUGUAGGAGGAUUAGUAGUGCUGGUGAUGAUGGAGCUAGGAUUAACAUCAUGAGAAGAAGAUCCAAAACAAUUGCCCAUGUUGACUUUCAAGAUUCUCUCCUCUUAGAUGCUACCACUAUUACCAAAUAUGCUACUAAGAUCAAGAAAACAAGUUCAUAACAGUAGUAUUUUGUUUUUCAAAACGCUUUGGAAUGCUAAACCAACUAGUCAAGUGGAUCAGGCCCACCUGUUGUCACGAAAAUGCAACCCUAAAAUUGCAGACAAUAAACAGCCUCCAUUUCAGUUUUAUAAAAGAAGAAACAGAGCCUUUCCUCUCUAUCUCUAACUCUGACGCAUAAAUACAAUUACUAUUCGUCGGCGCUGCCGCUGCCGCCGCCGCCUCCUCCAAUUGGUCGGAAACUGAUGUCAUGUCCUCUAGUAAUAACAGCCGUAGCUCCGCCAUCCUCUUCCACUUCUUCCAGCAAACUAUCACUACCGCGAUUAUUCCUACUAUUUCCACCAUUAUCACAAUUACCACUGUUCACUAAAAAGUCACAAUCUUUAUUCUAGUCGAUUCUUAUCUCUUGAAAAUUUUCUUACUCGUUUUCUGGCAUUCGGGUAGAAGAGAAAAAAGAAAAAGAUGGCUGCUUUGAGUGGCUAUGGUGUGUUCUUGAAAGAGUCUGCUCUCCAGCUACCGCGUUCUGUUUCCACCAAUUACUACAAGAGGUCAAAUCUGAUAAUAUUAUAUAUUUUUGUUGUGGCUUAUGUAUGCUUAUUUUGGGGUUUAGGCGAUAAGCUUUUUGCUAGUAACUUUUAUUUCCUGUUCUUAGCUGAUGGUGGUUGCUUUGUUUUCUUUUUUCUCUUUAAUAGGAGGAAUGCGAAAUGGAGUCCCCCUCAAGCUGCUAUAAUUCCCAAUUUCCAUCUUCCAAUGCGUAGUUUUGAAGUUAAAAAUAGGUAAGCUAUCAAUGGUGCACUCUCGUUUGGAGAAAAAGAUUUUCUUUUGGUUCAGUGUUAGAGAUCGGAUUCUUGGAUUCCAUUUUUUAAGGCUAAAAAAAAUACUUUCUGUUUGUGUUUGGCCUGAUAUCUAUGCAGGACAUUGUUUAAUAUUUGUUAGUGAUAGUUCAUCUGAUUUUUUUUCUGGGUUCUUAGCAAAGAGUUUGCUUCAUUUCUAGAUGAAGACGCAAAAAACUUGGGAAAAACUGGGAAAGUUUAUUUCAUAUGGACCAAUAAAACCAGACAUAUUUAAUAUGGUAAAAACAGUGGUAAUCUGACAAAAAAUGGAACUGUCAUUGGAGCAAAUCAAUUCCCGGUGUUUAUUUUCCUGGAGAUUUCUUAUGGUUGUUGAAAUUAGAACUUGAAUAUAUUUUCAUAGAGGAAUUAGAAUGUAGCAUUUAUAGCGUUCUGAAUGGCCAAGUGAGAGUACAGAUGAUCAAAUGCUUAGAUUUUGGUGCUAGGGAUAGGCUAAUUAAAAUCUCUCUAUUUUUAAAUGUGGUUUGAUUGAUAGUCACCUCAGUAGUAUAUAAACCACGGUUUGCAGGAGGAGCCAUGGCCUGAAUUGAAAACAUUAUGAAUGAAUGCACUUAUUUCUGGAGCUGAUAAAGUGAAUGAUCUACAGGAAGAUUCUGUACCAAAUGUUGAACGGAUAAGGAUGGGUGGUACCGUUCUAGUCAAGUGCAAAACAUGUUAAUUUUGCAUCCUUUGCAUUGGCUUUUAUAUCACAUCAUGCUUGUUUACGGCAGAUGUGGCUGUUUGUCUGGUUUUCAUUGCAUUUUUGUUUGUUGAACUGAGUUUUGAGAACUAUCUCGCCAACAACAUGCAUGCUUGGUUGAAGAAUUGAUGCCACAAAAUUAUAUGCUCUUUCAAUGCUUGCAGGACAUCAUCAGAGGAAAUAAAGUCCCUUAGAUUGAUAACAGCCAUCAAAACCCCAUAUUUACCUGAUGGUAGAUUUGACCUUGAAGCAUAUGACGCUUUGGUGAAUAUGCAAAUUGUUGACGGUGCUGAAGGCGUGAUUGUUGGUGGCACAACUGGUGAAGGUCAGUUGAUGAGCUGGGAUGAACACAUAAUGCUUAUUGGUCACACUGUUAACUGUUUUGGUAGUUCAAUCAAAGUGAUUGGAAAUACCGGCAGCAACUCUACAAGGGAAGCAAUUCAUGCUACAGUGCAAGGCUUUGCAGUUGGAAUGCGUGCUGCUCUUCACAUCAACCCUUACUAUGGAAAAACCUCUGUGGAGGGCUUGGUUUCCCACUUUGAUAGUGUGCUACCUAUGGGCCCUACAAUUAUUUACAAUGUGCCCUCACGAACUGGCCAAGAUAUUCCCCCAGGUGUGAUACACAGUGUAGCACAAAGUCCAAAUUUGGCAGGUGUUAAAGAAUGCAUGGGUAAUGAUCGGGUGGAACAGUACACAGAGAAAGGAAUUGUGGUAUGGAGUGGGAAUGAUGAUGAAUGCCAUGAUGCUAGAUGGAGCCAUGGGGCUACCGGAGUGAUUUCUGUUGCUAGCAACUUAGUCCCAGGCUUAAUGCGCAAGCUCAUGAUCGAGGGGAAGGACCCUGCACUAAAUUCAAAACUUUUGCCUCUCAUACGAUGGCUUUUCCAAGAGCCAAACCCUAUUGGUUUGAACACAGCUCUGGCACAACUUGGAGUCGUGAGACCAGUUUUCAGGCUGCCAUAUGUACCUCUUCCUCUGCCAAAGAGGAUAGAAUUUGUGAAUUUGGUCAAGGCAAUUGGGCGUGAGAAUUUUGUAGGAGAACAAGAUGUCCAGGUUCUCGAGGACGACGACUUCAUGUUGGUAGGUCGGUAUUAGUCAGUUUUUGCUAUUCAGGACUUUUUGCUUGGAUUUUUAAUAUGACUAGUAUGUUUUGCAGUUUCAGUUACAAUAAGGCUUCUUGUUAGAUUGUUGAAUCUGAAGCUGAAAAUGUAGUCUUUUAACUUCUUGUUACUGGUGUUUAAUGUUCAAAAAGAUCUCUGUUUGGAUUAUCUGGUGUCAUUGGUUGCAAAUCAUCUUGGCUCUUGGAUGAGAAAUGUUGGUAUCAUCUUACUUGCUUCUAAAAGCUCAAAUGUGAUUUUGCUGAUUAUGUUAAAUAAUUGUAUGUAGUGUCUUAAUACUUACUGUUUUAUACUGCUUGAGUGGUGUAUUGAAAUGUAAAUGCUUGAACUUUGAACCAAAUUGUUUGUUCUUGAGAAAUUCUUGGUCAAGUGGAAUGUAAAUCAAAGUGUUCCUCUUUCUUUUUUGGUCUAGUAUAAACGAAUUUUAUAAAAUUUCAUAAUUUUAUGAAGUUCAUUCAUAAAUGAAUUAUAUUUCUAUUUAUAAAAUAAUGAAUUAUUUUCUUCAAAUUGGUGUAUUCUAGAGGAACCUGAAUAGUUUCCCAAUUAUCUUGGAUUUCAUUUUUUUUUUUUUUUUGGGUAAAUUGGAUUUAAUUUCUUUUGACAAUGCGCCAAAGUUACUUUGACAAGUGGUAAAUUACUAUACUUUCAUUAAUUAAAUCUUGAUAUAAACAAAAUUAAUAUAUCAACUUUUAAUCUUACAAUAAAAUUCUAUUUAAUCAAAUAUUUGAUUAAUUUUGGAAACAAUUUAAUAUAAAUUCAUGGAUACUAACACAAGGAUAUAUUAGAAAAAAAUAAGAAAAAUUAUAAUUUAAUCAUAUUAACUAAAUUUUCUUAAUUCAUAUGGAAGACAAACUAUGACAAAAAUUAUGUAAUGAUAUUUGUUGACUAAUACUUCAUUACAACUCACCAAAUCUAACUUAUGUGUUAACAAAUAUUUGAAAAAAAAUGUCAUUGUGAUGAUAAAUUGAUAAAUAAAUAGGGAGUGUCAAAGAAGGCAGGAAGGAGGGAAGUUUGACCAAUAGCAAAUCAAGACAUUAGCUGUAACACAGUUGGAAGAUUGGACACAUGAAAAUAGUUUGGACUUUGGAAACUCUUUUCAUUUUCAAGUCAUCAUAAUAUUAUUCCAUAGUCAAGCAUAGACUUUUGAAUUUUGGCAUUCACAUUCAUAUUACAAUGACAAUGAUGUGUGAAAGCUUUUUACAUGCUUCCGAAAAGAUGACAUUUCCAUAUUUAUUGUAUUUUUAUAUGUUCAGAAGAACACAAAUGUCAAAUUGAUGCUAUAUGUCAAAAUAAAUAACUAUUAAUAGACUUUUCUCAGUGAGCUAAUAGACAAUUUUCUGAAAAAUAAAAUAUAACUGAAUCUCUGAUUAUCUUUAAAUCCAUCUGUAUCUAAAAAAUAAUUAUGAUGUUUCUAACUUAUAUUUUAAUCUCACUAUUAGAUCAUUCCGUCUAAUAAGUGAGCUUUUUACCAUUAAUUAGACACUUUUUGGAUAGAAUAUGCUCAUUUUUUAGAUGGAAAAAUGUCACUUUUUGGACGAAAAGACUCGAUAAAAGAGAUAGAGUAUAAAUUAAGUAUGUCGUAACUAUUUCUCAAAUGUAGAAAGAUUUAAAUGUUAAUUUGAAUAUAAUAUAGGAACCCAGUUAUAUUUUACCCUUUUUCUGAAUUAUGUGUCUUUGCUGCAAAAGAGAUGGCCUUUGGUUUGGCAUUUUUUGCCCCUCAAGAACACCUCAGGCCAUGUCUUCAGAGGCUGCAUACCCAGAAUUAGAAAGCUUCAAAUAUGCUUUAGAAAGAUAACAGAUUAUAUUCAAAUCAACCAGAACAAAGAAAAUCACUAUAAAACAUUUCCUCACUCUAUCAACAGCUACAUUAAAACAAUUGGCAGCUACAACAAAAUUUGCUAUGAACUAAAAGAGGUCACUAAAAAAAUGAUGAUUACUUGUUCAAAGGUUUACAGAAACCAAAAAUGAACUGCAUAAAUGUUUUCAUCUAAACAUUUAACUUGUUUGAUCAAACAUAUCUUUUACCUUGUUUUUUGUCGACUGGAUUAGCAUCCUGCAUCUGUUUAAGGGCCUCAUCGCCUCAAAUGAAGUGGAGA